rnacentral:rRNA from 1 species
AACCAGCUCUUCAAGUGGUCGGGAUAAUUAUUGGGCUUAAAGUGUCCGUAGCCGGUUUAGUAAGUUCCUGGUAAAAUCAGGUAGCCUAACUAUCUGCAUGCUAGGAAUACUGCUAUACUAGAGGACGGGAGAGGUCUGAGGUACUACAGGGGUAGGGGUGAAAUCUUAUAAUCCUUGUAGGACCACCAGUGGCGAAGGCGUCAGACUGGAACGUGCCUGACGGUGAGGGACGAAAGCCAGGGGAGCGAACCGGAUUAGAUACCCCCGUA